GGAAAGGUGGUUGAGCGGUCGAAGGCUCCGGUCUUGAAAACCGGCGAUGUGAAAGCAUCCGUGGGUUCGAAUCCCACCCUUUCCGCCA
rnacentral:tRNA from 1 species